UUUUUGGUUAAUAAUUUAAAGUCUAAUCUGCCCACUGAUAAUAUAUUAAAGGGCUGCAGUAUUUUGACUGUACAAAGGUAGCAUAAUCAUUAGUCUCUUAAUUGGUGACUUGUAUGAAAGAUUUGAUGAGAUAUAUACUGUCUCUUUUUAAUUUAUAAAAUUUAAUUUUUUAGUUAAAAAGCUAAAAUAUAUUUAAAAGACGAGAAGACCCUAUAGAGUUUUAUAUUUAUAUAAAUUAAAAUUUUUUAUAAGCUUUAAAAUUUUAAUUUAUAUAAAUAUUUUGUUGGGGUGAUAAAAAAAUUAAAAUAACUUUUUUUAUAAUUUUACAUUAAUAAAUGAAUAAAUGAUCCGUAAUUUAUGAUUAUAAGAUAAAAUUACCUUAGGGAUAACAGCGUAAUUUUUUUUUUUAGUUCAAAUAAGAAAAAAAGUUUGCGACCUCGAUGUUGGAUUAAGAUAAAAUUUAAAUGCAAAAGUUUAAAAUUUUUGAUCUGUUCGAUCAUUAAAAUCUUACA
rnacentral:rRNA from 1 species